CCCGGUCAGUGUCCGAGACCGGUCCCCGCCCUGACGUGCGUGGCUAGUAAUGGCUGGGUGCGAAGCUCAGGGGAAAGCCCGAGGAC
rfam:Micromonospora rhizosphaerae strain DSM 45431 genome assembly, contig: Ga0070624_12